GAAACAAUGGCUCAGUGGUAGAGCAUCUGGUUUGCAUACAGAAAGUCCCUUGUUCAAAACCCAGCAUGUUGGGAAUGUCU